CCCUCCACCAUGAGCUGCUGCUCCUCCUAGCAACCAUGGCCGGCCAUGGCCAUGAAUAUCCACCAAGAUGAAGCUCCCCUCCUCCCUCAAGCUCCUCCUCACCAUGAGAGCCUCCCUCUCCAUCUUCUCCCCAACCCUAGAUGGUUUAAUCUCCUCUUCUUCUUCCUCCAUUGCUAAGAUUGGAUCUUGAUGCAGGUGCAUGUUGGUCCAAGCAUGGAGAAGCUUGAGCAAUCCUCAGAUCUGAAGUUCUUGAGCAAAAUCCAAAUCGAGUGAUUCAAAGUUCCGCGGAUAGGUAUUCAAAAGAUCUACAACUUGGCGUUGGUCUCAUCCUCCAAUUCGUUACAGAUUCUCCCUGAUCAAGAUCUGGACAGAUCUGGCUUUGUCGAAUUAAACCAGGAGCUUGGGAACGAAUUUUUGAAUGAAACAAAUUGGGGGAUGUUUGGGUUAUACCAUGGUGAUAACCGAGAGAGGCAAUUGCUAAGUUGUGAUACUCUCAUACCUUUACUAGACGCGAGCAAUUCCGGAGAAGAAGAAGUGGAUUGGACAAGGUUUUUAUUUAUAUUGUUGGAAUUCUUUUGAUGGAGUUGAAGAAGUCCAGGGACAAAUAAGCCAACCAAGGCAAGCCAUCUUUUGAUCUCUGAUUUGGUGUCCAGUUGGACGUCAUUUGUUGAUAUCCAAAGCACCUUGAUUCUAUGUGUGUUGAUCUCUCUUUUAUUGUCAUCUAUGUAUGGUUGCUAGUGGGGUACUCCCUAGUGGUGAUACUCCACUACUAUCUUUGUGUUUUGGGAUGCAUGGAAUUAUGGCCAUGCUAUUCCACUUGGUUAGCUUGUAUGCUCACUUGAGCAUGCCUCUUAUCGGGAUAAUAACUUACACCACAC